rnacentral:rRNA from 1 species
GAUGAACGCUGGCGGCGUGCCUAAUACAUGCAAGUCGAGCGAACAGAUGAGGAGCUUGCUCCUCUGACGUUAGCGGCGGACGGGUGAGUAACACGUGGAUAACCUACCUAUAAGACUGGGAUAACUUCGGGAAACCGGAGCUAAUACCGGAUAAUAUAUUGAACCGCAUGGUUCAAUAGUGAAAGACGGUUUUGCUGUCACUUAUAGAUGGAUCCGCGCCGCAUUAGCUAGUUGGUAAGGUAACGGCUUACCAAGGCAACGAUGCGUAGCCGACCUGAAAGGGUGAUCGGCCACACUGGAACUGAGACACGGUCCAGACUCCUACGGGAGGCAGCAGUAGGGAAUCUUCCGCAAUGGGCGAAAGCCUGACGGAGCAACGCCGCGUGAGUGAUGAAGGUCUUCGGAUCGUAAAACUCUGUUAUUAGGGAAGAACAAAUGUGUAAGUAACUAUGCACGUCUUGACGGUACCUAAUCAGAAAGCCACGGCUAACUACGUG